AAGACCUUGCGCUUUUGGAGCGGCCGAUGCCUGAUUAGCUUGUUGGUAAGGUAAAGGCUUACCAAGGCUUCGAUCAGUAGCUGGUCUGAGAGGACGGCCAGCCACACUGGGACUGAGACACGGCCCAGACUCCUACGGGAGGCAGCAGUGGGGAAUUUUGGACAAUGGGGGAAACCCUGAUCCAGCCAUGCCGCGUGAGUGAAGAAGGCCUUCGGGUUGUAAAGCUCUUUCAGCCGGAACGAAACGGUUACGGUUAACACCCGUGACUACUGACGGUACCGGAAGAAGAAGCACCGGCUAACUACGUGCCAGCAGCCGCGGUAAUACGUAGGGUGCGAGCGUUAAUCGGAAUUACUGGGCGUAAAGCGUGCGCAGGUGGUUUUGUAAGUCAGAUGUGAAAGCCCCGGGCUCAACCUGGGAACU
rnacentral:rRNA from 1 species